rnacentral:misc_RNA from 1 species
UCCCCGCUAUCCUUAAUGUGAAUUGCAGAAUUCAGUGAAUCAUCGAGUCUUUGAACGCACAUUGCGCCCCCUGGUAUUCCGGGGGGCAUGCCUGUCCGAGCGUCAUUGCUGCCCUCAAGCACGGCUUGUGUGUUGGGCUUCCGUCCCUGGCAACGGGGACGGGCCCAAAAGGCAGUGGCGGCACCAUGUCUGGUCCUCGAGCGUAUGGGGCUUUGUCACCCGCUCCCGUAGGUCCAGCUGGCAGCUAGCCUCGCAACCAAUCUUUUUAACCAGGUUGACCUCGGAUCAGGUAGGGAUACCCGCUGAACUUAAGC